rnacentral:tRNA from 1 species
AAAAUUUUAAGUUAAAAAACUAUAAACCUUCAAAGUUUAAAUUAUAUAUAAUAAUUAUAUAAAUUUUA